UCUGAAACAAUAUUGUGUUGAGUUUUAAUAUAUUUCUUUUCUUUUAUUUUACCAUUAAACUGCAACAUUCAUAACACCUCAGUAUUUAUGUUACAUUAGUAAGUAUCCCUUUAAAUAAAAGCGUAUCGUUACGUUUUUCCUAUAAGUAAAAUUACUUAUUACUUAAUAUUUUGAUUACAGUAUUACUAAAAGAUUGUGUUUAUGAUGUAUAGUUACCAUGGAUAAAAGAAAGAGACUGGAUUGGCCUUGUGGGCGGGCCACGCGCGCCGAGGGUGCGAACGAACGUGCAUAGCGCUGUCUUAACGCUCAAAUGUUCAUACUUACCGGCUAGCAAUCGCUGUCAUGUUUUGACAGCGUACGUAUCUCCGCAAAAAUAUUAUAUUAUGCCGUCUUGCGCUAUUGUAACGUGUCGGAAAAGAAGCCAGGUGUGUAGCAUAGCACGAGAAGGAAUUUCUUUUCACCGGUUUCCAACAGAUCCAGGUGUAAGAAAAUUGUGGAUUGACACAACUGGUAGAAUUAAUUGGAUUCCUACUAAAUGUAGCAUAAUUCGUUCGCAACAUUUCGAUGUUGAUAAUUACAUAAUAACAAAGUCAGGGAAAAUAAACUUAAAAUUAGGCGUUUAUCCGCACAAAUAUAUCACAAUGUGUAAUUCAGUAAGUAAACUGAUUUUAUUUUAGAAAAUUUUAUAUUGGUCUCUUUAAAUCAGCUUUUUUGUCUAAAAAUGGCGAUAUUUAAAAUAUCAUCUUUUGUAAAUUUAAAAAACGAAAAAAUUAAAUAAUAUAACCAUGUUAUUUCAAUAUGUUCUGUACUUUAUACAAAUUAUUGUAAAUGUGAGAGCCCUGCAUUAGCUAAAAUUGAAUUAGACUAGUAGAAUGCAUUUGUGUCAGCUUAGAGUUGUCAUGCUCACUCUAAGGUCUCAUUGGCGGUGGCACGGGCGUUGGAUCGUUCGAUUCCCUGCAACAUGGUUGAGUUGGACGGUGCUGGUGUACGUGCCAUGUUGGUGAACGAGCGCUGUCAACUGGGACUGGUCAGCUCCAGACUGUAUUAAUUUUGUUGUUCUUAAGGUUUUUUUCUAUCGCUUUGACUGAAUAUUAGUUUUACAUUGUUCUCACAUAGUUGAAGCAAUCGAUGCAAAGAAAAGCAAUGUAACCAAGAAUUGUAUUGUAAAUCUGAUUGAAAAAGAUUAACCUAUGGAGUUUAUUGCUCGUUCUUCUCCAUAGGAAUCUACACUUUGGAACGAGCAAAUAGCUUCACUAGAGGGCUGACCGACAGACAGACGUUAUUAACAUUAUUAUAUUAGUUUUGACGUUCAAAAGUGCCUUUGAUUUAAUUUUUUACUUAUUUUUAACUUAUUGAGUAAUAAAAUUGGUUUUAAAAUUCA